UUUUCCUGCAGAAAUGUAGGACAGGAAUCCUGAUGGUUUCUAUAUUGCUGACUGUCACUAUGAAGCGUGACAACAGGAGGUCUUCAGUAUUGAGCAAAUAUAACAUCCAAAUAAAAACUGAUCAGGAAAGACGGAAAAGUAAAGUGAACAAUCCAAAAUGUGCUGACCUUGGGAGCAAGAAGGAAAAUCCAAAUGUGCCUGUUCACUGCUACAAGGUUAGGAACAAGCACUGACAAUAUCAGUGAGGAGACUGUCAGAAAAAUACUGUCUGUGAGAAAGAAAAGGAGAGCAAAUUGCAGCACAGACACUGAGAGCUGCAAUAAGAUUUAAGGAACUGCUGCUUCCCUUUCCUUGGUUUAGAUUGCUACUGGUGUAUGCCCUCCUUCCUACCACACUGUGAACUGGAGACCAGACCAAGAGGUGCCACAGGCAAUGCAAUAUUUGCAGUUUGCACAGUAUGUCUGACAUGCCUGCAAAAGUGGAGACCCU